UGACAUCUGGAUUUGCUUUUCUGUUCCUGUGACCCGGGUCUGACCCAUUAGCUCCCUCUCAGGCCAUGGGGACUGGAUCAUGACUGGGUGCAUGACUCAAGGCAGUCCAAUGAGACUCCACCCCAGGACCUCUCUUGGAACCAUUAUAGAAAGGAAGCCCUUUUCCACUGAGAGUUUGGGUAAGAUGAUGGUGAAAGCCUGGAAUUGCCAGAGACCACUGCACCGGAAGAUCCUACACGAGAAUGAAACCAGCACAGAGGGAAGCAGAACAAGAAGACAGAGACAAAGUGCUGACAAAAAUCACCCUUGCUCCUGGAUCCAGCUGUGCCUGAAGCCAUCCCAACCCUGGGACUUUUCAGUUCCCAGAACUGUCACCUGAAUGCCUGCCCUGCUCUCCUGACAAAUGUGGUGGCCAACGUGUCCUGGUCCCACAAAAGAAACACAAAGGACAAGUAAGAGAACUGCUAAGCCAUGAUGUUUAAAAAGGAAAACUAUCCCAGGUGCUUGGUGCAUCCUGGGCCGUAUUCUAACUUUCAAGGGUCCUAGGCCCUUUUGCCUGCAUGGGUCCCUUCCUCCAUUCAAAAAAAAAGUUAAAAAUUAUAUUUUACAACUG
rnacentral:lncRNA from 1 species